AGGUAGGACAGAUGGGAAGCAACAUUUCAGAGCGUAACGACAUGGUCGUGACUGCGGCAGGAUAGAUGGGAAGCAGCAUUUUCCAUCCUCCUGCGCCAGACCAACUUCGUCAUUUUCUGAUUGGUGUGAAGUGAGCACACAUUUGUUGAUCGUUAGUCUACCACUUGUUUCCUGUUCUCUUCAUUACUUCCUUCCUGCCGUACCACUGGAUCGCGGCUGUUACUGGAAGAUGAUGAACAAGUACAUAGGAUCAGAUGUAAUGUCAGUUAUUACACUUCCAAUCUUCAUCUUUGAGCCGUUGGGAAAAUGGCAGAGAUGGACUAUGCCCUUAAGUUCCCUCUAUACCACGCUCGAACGUCUAGACCACAAGAGGAACAUA